rnacentral:rRNA from 2 species
CGGGAGGCAGCAGUAGGGAAUCUUCCACAAUGGACGAAAGUCUGAUGGAGCAACGCCGCGUGAGUGAUGAAGGUUUUCGGAUCGUAAAACUCUGUUGUUAAAGAAGAACAAGUGUUAGAGUAACUGUUAACACUUUGACGGUAUUUAACCAGAAAGCCACGGCUAACUACGUGCCAGCAGCCGCGGUAAUACGUAGGUGGCAAGCGUUGUCCGGAUUUAUUGGGCGUAAAGCGAGCGCAGGCGGUUUUGUAAGUCUGCUGUGAAAGCCCUCAGCUCAACUGAGGAAGUGCAGUGGAAACUACAAAACUUGAGUACAGAAGAGGAAAGUGGAACUCCAUGUGUAGCGGUGAAAUGCGUAGAUAUAUGGAAGAACACCAGUGGCGAAGGCGGCUUUCUGGUCUGUUACUGACGCUGAGGCUCGAAAGCAUGGGUAGCGAACAGGAUUAGAUACCCUGGUAGUCCAUGCCGUAAACGAUGAAUACUAGGUGUUGGAGGGUUUCCGCCCUUCAGUGCCGCAGCUAACGCAUUAAGUAUUCCGCCUGGGGAGUACGACCGCAAGGUUGAAACUCAAAGGAAUUGACGGGGGCCCGCACAAGUGGUGGAGCAUGUGGUUUAAUUCGAUGCUACGCGAAGAACCUUACCAGCUCUUGACAUCUUCUGCCAACCCAAGAGAUUGGGCGUUCCCUUCGGGGACAGAAUGACAGGUGGUGCAUGGUUGUCGUCAGCUCGUGUCGUGAGAUGUUGGGUUAAGUCCCGCAACGAGCGCAACCCUUAUUAUUAGUUGCCAGCAUUUAGUUGGGCACUCUAGUGAGACUGCCGGUGAUAAACCGGAGGAAGGUGGGGACGACGUCAAAUCAUCAUGCCCCUUAUGAGCUGGGCUACACACGUGCUACAAUGGAUGGUACAACGAGUCGCGAAACCGCGAGGUCAAGCUAAUCUCUUAAAGCCAUUCUCAGUUCGGAUUGCAGGCUGCAACUCGCCUGCAUGAAGUUGGAAUCACUAGUAAUCGUGGAUCAGCAUGCCANCGGUGAAUACGUUCCCGGGCCUUGUACAGCAC